rnacentral:snRNA from 1 species
AUAUUUUUGAUGUAUUUGUAACUAGCAUGAAUAAAAAACUCUGUUCUUAUCAGCUUAAUAUCUGAUACGGGUUCUAUAUGGACCCACGAUAUUAAACCUAUUUUUGGAAGUUGGCGGAGUGCUUGAAGCCUGCUUCACCUCCGCCGCAGGUCGGCCCGGUAUUGCACUACCUCCGGGAUCGGCCCCGCUCAC